rnacentral:miRNA from 1 species
CCUGGAACUCACUCUGAAGGCUGGCCUUGAACUCACAGAGAUCUGCCUGCCUCUGCCUCCUGUGGGCUGAGAU